UACGAAGGGGCUAGCGUUGUUCGGAAUCACUGGGCGUAAAGGGCGCGUAGGCGGCUUAUAAGUCGGGGUGAAAGCCUGUGGCUCAACCACAGAAUUGCCUUCGAUACUGUAGAGCUUGAGACCGGAAGAGGUAAGUGGAACUGCGAGUGUAGAGGUGAAAUUCGUAGAUAUUCGCAAGAACACCAGUGGCGAAGGCGGCUCACUGGCCGGUACUGACGCUGAGUGUGCGAAAGCGUGGGGAG
rnacentral:rRNA from 1 species